rnacentral:rRNA from 1 species
GUAGUCCACACCCUAAACGAUGAGUACUAGUUAUUGGGCUUUUUAAAGCUCAGUGACUUAGCUAACGCAUUAAGUACUCCACCUGGGAAGUACGAUCGCAAGGUUGAAACUCAAAGGAAUUGACGGGGCCCGCACAAGCAGUGGAGCAUGUGGUUUAAUUCGAUGCAACGCGAAGAACCUUACCUAGGCUUGAAACGCAUAUUAAAUUCAGUGAAAGCUGUUGUCCCGCAAGGGGGAAUAUGUACAGGUGCUGCAUGGCUGUCGUCAGCUCGUGCCGUGAGGUGUUGGGUUAAG